GGCCCGUUCGUCUAUCGGUUAGGACACGGCUCUUUCACAGCUGAAAGGCGGGUUCGAUUCCCGCACGGGUCACCA
rnacentral:tRNA from 2 species